rnacentral:miRNA from 1 species
UGCGAGGGUGUGUGUGUGUGUGUGUGUGUGUGUGUCCGCCCACUCAACACCAAACAUUCUGACACUGGCCGGUCAC